CCUACGGGAGGCAGCAGUAGGGAAUAUUGCUCAAUGGGGGAAACCCUGAAGCAGCAACGCCGCGUGGAGGAUGACGGUUCUCGGAGUGUAAACUCCUUUUGUUAGAGAAGAUAAUGACGGUAUCUAACGAAUAAGCACCGUCUAACGCCGUGCCAGCAGCCGCGGUAAUACGGAGGGUGCAAGCGUUACCCGGAAUCCCUGGGCGUAAAGAGCGCGUAGGCGGGAUAGCAAGUCAGUUGUGAAAUCCUAUGGCUUAACCAUAGAACUGCAUUUGAAACUGUUAUUCUAGAGUAUGGGAGAGGUAGGUGGAAUUCUUGGUGUAGGGGUAAAAUCCGUAGAGAUCACGAGGAAUACUCAUUGCGAAGGCGACCUGCUGGAACGUAACUGACGCUGAUGCGCGAAAGCGUGGGGAGCAAACAGGAUUAGAUACCCGUGUAGUC
rnacentral:rRNA from 1 species